AAUCAUACUUAUUCCUCUUAUUAAUAAGGGACAGUUUGAGGAGCUUGGGGUCGUCAGGGGCUUUUUGGGAAGACUGAAACUGUUUUUUAGGGUUACUUUGGGAAAACUGUAAAUAUUUUAAUCUACGUGUAUAUCCCUCAAAAAAAUCGGCGCCGCACAGGUUAGCCUAACACACUGUUCAUACUUGAAAAGUAAAUCUCCUUCUAAUCUAUGAUUUAUCACAAGUUAUACCGUCUGCUUUUCGCUUGCUCUUUUUCUUGCACUUCGUUGGAUUAUUGUGCUAAUUAUCCUUCUUUCUUAUCUUCUACUUCUUGUACCAUGAUUUUCAUCUUUCAUAUGUUUCUAGGAUCUGACAUUUGCUGAAACCAUUAAAGCCAAAGCUUAAUGGAGUAAUAAAAUCAAACACAUCAGAAAAUCAAAAAGUGAAAUAUUAAUUGGGAACUGACCUCACUUGCCUUUUUAUUCGCUGUAUCAAAAUUGAUUGUAAAACCUAGCGGAAACACAUGUUGCUCUCCGUCAACUUUGUGUGCUAACAUGUAAUAGGUGACACUCAAUGAACUUUUUAAUCUAAAAUCUAUUGUUUUUAUCGGACCAUUCUCUUGGACUUUUGGGUAACUAUUUGAUGUUGUAACUGAAGCUUCAGUUUUUUUCCUCCACUUCUUUUUGCGCGCAAGAUUUUACUGAAGAAGAAUUGGGUAAAAGUCCUUAGGUAAAACGCUAUAGAUGUUUGAUAAAUUAUUUAAAGAAACAAAAAUUUUCAUUGAACUUGCAGAUUACACAGAAAAGUAAUUUAUCCUUGCGGUCUCUCCAUCUCAAGAAGUAGGCUGAUUUGUCCUUUAAUUCGCGGUGAAACAAAGGAGAAGAGGCUCCCAAAUUGGAUUGCUAUUUUUUGUGAAUUGAAGUUGGUUUACCUUUUUGGUACUCAUAAAUGUCAUGUACUGAGCGAAAAGAAAGAAAAGAAGAAAACCAAAAAGACUCUGCUGCAACAUACAGAAAAUAAGAAUAUUACUUGAUGCUUAUUGUCUCGGAUAUUAGGCAAAAAUAUUCUGCUUCCUAAGAGGACGAAAACUACCAGGGACCUGAAUUGCAGCAACAAGAAGAAUCACAUAUUGAUUUCGAUGCUUGCACAAUAUAUUUUAGAUUCGUUUCAUUCCAUUUGACUUUUGAUGCAACUUAAAAGUUAAUCAAUUGUGUUCUUAGUUUUGCAACAUUUUAAAUCAGAUUAUAUGGUAUUUGUUCAAAUCUGUUUCGUGAUCAGCGAAUAGAAGUUCUAUACAUUAACAAUCUGUUUGGAUCAUUGUUCCCCGUCGUUUUAUAACGUAUUGUAUUGUACUGUAUCGUAUUGUACCGUAUCUUUUUAUGAAUACGAUGUUUGAAUAGAUUGUAUUGUUUGUCAUUGUUAAAUAAUA